rnacentral:rRNA from 1 species
UACAGAGGUCUCAAGCGUUGUUCGGAUUCAUUGGGCGUAAAGGGUGCGUAGGCGGCGCGGUAAGUCGGGUGUGAAAUCUCGGAGCUUAACUCCGAAACUGCAGUCGAUACUGCCGUGCUUGAGGACUGGAGAGGAGACUGGAAUUUACGGUGUAGCGGUGAAAUGCGUAGAUAUCGUAAGGAAGACCAGUGGCGAAGGCGGGUCUCUGGACAGUUCCUGACGCUGAGGCACGAAGGUCAGGGGAGCAAACGGG